rnacentral:rRNA from 1 species
UCUCAGUUCGGAUCGGAGUCUGCAACCCGACUCCGUGAAGCUGGAUUCGCUAGUAAUCGCGCAUCAGCCAUGGCGCGGUGAAUACGUUCCCGGGCCUUGUACACACCGCCCGUCAAGCCAUGGAAGCCGGGGGUGCCUGAAGUGUGCAGCCGCAAGGAGCGCCCUAAGGUAAAACCGGUGACUGGGGCUAAGUCGUAACAAGGUAAC